UCAGCCGAACUAAGAUGAGCUCGCGUUCUAUCAGCUAGUUGGUGAGGUAAUAGCUCACCAAGGCAACGACGGAUAGCUGGUCUGAGAGGACGAUCAGCCACACUGGGACUGAGACACGGCCCAGACUCCUACGGGAGGCUGCAGCAGGGAAUAUUGCGCAAUGAGCGAAAGCUUGACGCAGCGACACCGCGUGUGGGAUGACGGAUCUAGGUUUGUAAACCACUUUCAGGAGGGAAGAAAAUGACGGUACCUCCACAAGAAGCCCCGGCCAACUACGUGCCAGCAGCCGCGGUAAUACGUAGGGGGCGAGCGUUGUCCGGAUUUAUUGGGCGUAAAGAGCUCGUAGGCGGUUCAACAAGUCGGUCGUAAAAGUUCAGGGCUCAACCCUGAAAUGUCGAUCGAUACUGUUGUGACUAGGAUACGGUAGAGGUGAGUGGAAUUCCGAGUGUAGCGGUGAAAUGCGUAGAUAUUCGGAGGAACACCAAUUGCGAAGGCAGCUCACUGGGCCGCUAUCGACGCUGAGGAGCGAAAGCUAGGGGAGCAAACAGGAUUAGAUACCCUGGUAGUCCUAGCUGUAAACGAUGGAUACUAGACGUAGGAACUGGAUUGACGGUUUCUGUGUCGUAGCUAACGCGUUAAGUAUCCCGCCUGGGGAGUACGGUCGCAAGACUAAAACUCAAAGGAAUUGACGGGACCCCGCACAAGCGGCGGAGCAUGCGGCUUAAUUCGAUGAUACCCGUAGAACCUUACCUGGACUUGACAUAUAGGGUCUAGCUAUAGAGAUAUAGUGUGCAUUAGCGCCCUAUACAGGUGGUGCAUGGCUGUCGUCAGCUCGUGUCGUGAGAUGUU
rnacentral:rRNA from 1 species